rnacentral:rRNA from 1 species
CCUACGGGAGGCAGCAGUGGGGAAUAUUGCACAAUGGGCGAAAGCCUGAUGCAGCCAUGCCGCGUGUGUGAAGAAGGCCCUAGGGUUGUAAAGCACUUUCAGUGGGGAGGAAAGGGAGAUUGCUAAUAUCAGUCUCCUGUGACGUUACCCACAGAAGAAGCACCGGCUAACUCCGUGCCAGCAGCCGCGGUAA